rnacentral:rRNA from 1 species
CACGAAAUCAUGUGAGCUAAUCUGCUUAUAAAAUAUGUAGCAUAAUAUAUAAUUGAAAGUAGAUUAGGAGUGAAAGGCCUCUCAAAAAUGAUGAUAUCUUGAAGUAAACAAAAAAGAUUGAGUUUAAAGAUAGUUAUAAAGUUAUAAGAUUUUAUAAAAGAUUUAAUUAUUAGUAUUGUAAAAUAUGUUGGUAUGAAAACCUGCAUAAGAAAUAAUAUAAUAUAAAAUUAGUAUAAUUUAUUUAAUUAGUUUACGGUAGCAUAACUAUUUGAAUAAUCAUAAUGUUAAUAUAAGUAUCUAUUAGAUAUUAAUAGUGAACUCGGCAAUAAAGCUUUCAACUGUUUAUCAAAAACAUAGCCACAUGUUGCACAUGUGGUAUAUUCUGCUCAAUGAUAUUUAAAUAGCCGCAGUACCCUGACUGUGCAAAGGUAGCGUAAUCAUUUGUCUUUUAAUUGAAGUCGUGUAUGAAGGAAUGCAUGGGGGCUUACUUUACCAUUAAUAUAACUUGAAAUUACUUAAGAGGUGAAAAUGCCUCUAUAAAAAUAAUAGACGAGAAGACCCUUGAAAUUUUUAAUUAUUUUGUUGGGGCAACAUAGUAGAUAAACCUACUAAAUGUACAUGCAAUUUAUUUGAUUGAAUAAAUUACUCUAGGGAUAACAGCAUAAUUCUAAAUGAGUUUGUGACCUCGAUGUUGGAUUAGGGAACUACAACUUAAAA